UUUGCUUGUGGAGUGUGUGUGUGUGUGUGUGUGUGUGUCCUCUGCUAUGACAGACAGACAGACACACACACACACACACACACACAGACA
rnacentral:miRNA from 14 species